rnacentral:rRNA from 1 species
GAUGAACGCUAGCGGCAGGCUUAAUACAUGCAAGUCGAGGGGCAGCAGGUCCCGCAGCAAUGCGGGAUGCUGGCGACCGGCAAACGGGUGCGGAACACGUACAGAACCUUCCUUUAAGUGGGGAAUAGCCCGGGGAAACCCGGAUUAAUACCCCGUAACAUAAUGAAGUGGCAUCACUUUAUUAUUAUAGCAGCAAUGCGCUUGAAGAUGGCUGUGCGGCUGAUUAGGUAGUUGGCGGGGUAACGGCCCACCAAGCCUACGAUCAGUAACUGGUGUGAGAGCACGACCAGGCACACGGGCACUGAGACACGGGCCCGACUCCUACGGGAGGCAGCAGUAAGGAAUAUUGGGCAAUGGACGCAAGUCUGACCCAGCCAUGCCGCGUGAAGGAUGAAGGUCCUCUGGAUUGUAAACUUCUUUUAUCUGGGAAGAAAUCUAUUUUUUCUAAAGUAGUUGACGGUACCAGGUGAAUAAGCACCGGCUAACUCCGUGCCAGCCGCCGCGGUAA